UACGGAGAAUGCGAGCGUUAUCCGGAUUUAUUGGGUUUAAAGGGUGCGUAGGCGGACUGUCAAGUCAGCGGUAAAAUUGAGAGGCUCAACCUCUUCCCGCCGUUGAAACUGGUGGUCUUGAGUGGAUGAGAAGUACGCGGAAUGCGUGGUGUAGCGGUGAAAUGCAUAGAUAUCACGCAGAACUCCGAUUGCGAAGGCAGCGUACCGGCAUCCAACUGACGCUGAGGCACGAAGGCGUGGGGAUCAAACAGG
rnacentral:rRNA from 1 species